AAGUUUAAAUCUUGAACAAAUGGUUGAUGCAUAUGCACCCAGCAACUCUCAUGAAUGUGUACUUGGCCAACCAAUUUAUCUGAGCAACAAACCACAAGGUCGGGUGAUGAUACGAUGUAUAAACAAAACAUCCCAAAAUUGUACUCAUUUCCAACAAUAACGGAAAUUUCAUUCCUUUCCAAGCCACGAAAAGAAAAAAAAGAAAGAUUACCCAUUAACUCAAAAAUACAAAUUCCAUCACCACCACCAGCACACAACUCUGUCAGUUGCUUUUCUUCUACUCCCUUCCCAAUCCCAUCAGCAACCUCUGUCUCUCUUUCUCUCUCUCUCUCUGAAGCCUGUGGCAAAACAUAGAAGCAGAGGAAACAGCAUAUACAGCAAACACCAUGUUAUUGAACAGAUCAAAUCCACCAUUGUUUCUUCUUCUUGUGGGGUUUGUUUUCUCUCUUUUUCUUUUCACAUCCUCUUCACCAACCACUUUCACUUCUCAUCUCCAGACUCUAAAUUUUCCGGGUAAAAUUUUCUUCUUUCUGUUUUAUUUUAAUUUUUUUUUCAUGCAGUUCUGAAUUCUGUUCUUCCCAGGGAAAAAAGUUCCCAUCUUUCGUCUGGGUUGGCAGAAGUAAAAUUUCUUGCUUUUCAUGGCAUUGUUUACUUUAUGAUGAUUUUCUGUGAUUUCAGAGGUUGUUAGUGAAAGGGUGAAUGGUGUAUUGGUACCAUGGGAGACAAGAAGGCGUCUUGAAGAAGAGAACUCGAACUCCUCUCUGAUAUUGGCUGCAAAAAGAACUGGAAGACACGACCCUUUGGAUAAAUUUAAGCGUUAUACUGGUGGCUAUAAUAUCAGCAAUCAACAUUACUGGGCUUCUGUGGGUUUCACGGCUGCUCCUUUCUUUAUCAUUGCUGGAAUUUGGUUUGUGCUCUUUGGAUUGUGCUUGGCCUUUAUCUGUCUCUGUUAUUGCUGUUGUCGAAGAGAACCUUAUGGCUAUUCUCGAAUAUGCUAUGCCCUCUCUCUCAUUUUCCUCAUUCUCUUCACAAUUGCUGCAAUUAUGGGGUGUGUUGUCCUCUACAUUGGUCAACAGAAGUUUCACAGCAUUACUACACACACAUUGGAUUAUGUUGUGCACCAGGCAAAUGUUACUGCUGAAAACCUCAGGAAUGUAUCAGAUUAUCUUGCUGCAGCUAGAAGUGUCUCUGUGGAUAAUAUGCUUCUGCCAGCCAAUGUCCGAAACAACAUUGGUGACAUUGAAACAAAGAUCAACUCCUCUAGCAGCACUCUUUCCAGUCGUACACAAGAUAAUUCUAAGGAUAUACAAGAUGGUUUAGAUAGCAUGAGACUUGCUCUGAUUAUACUUGCUGCCGUAAUGCUUGCUUUGGCAUUUCUUGGAUUCUGUAAGUUUGUUAUUUCCAAGCUAGAGGUUGAAGAUUUUAAUUAUUUUACCUGUUACAACUUGAUAUAUGUUCUCAUGUUAUUGGAAUGAUGAUGUUGGUUGCAGUAUUCUCCAUUCUUGGACUGCAGUGUCUUGUAUAUUUGUGAGUUAUGCUAUCUUUGAGUCAUUUUUUGUUAAUUAUUAGAGUGGGAAAUAUUCCUAUUUUAGUUAUUUGGAAACAGUAAUCAUUUCAUCACUGAUUGCAGCCUGGUGAUUCUUGGGUGGAUUCUGGUUGCGGGCACAUUUAUUUUGUGUGGUGUAUUUCUUCUUGUCCAUAAUGUGGUUGCAGAUACAUGUGUUGCAAUGGAUGAGUGGGUCCUGAACCCCACCGCCAAAACAGCAAUGGAUGAUAUAAUCCCUUGUGUGGAUAAUGCAACUGCUCAGGCAACCUUGCAGCAAACCAAGGAAGUCACUUACCAACUUGUCAAUGUGGUUGAUGGCAUCAUCAAAAAUGUCUCUAACAGAAAUUUCCCACCACUGGUACCUUUGUAUUACAACCAAUCUGGUCCAUUGAUGCCUGUUCUUUGCAACCCGUAUAAUUCUGAUUUCACAGAACGGCAAUGUGCUGCUGGCGAAGUGGACUUGAACAAUGCUACUGAGGUGUGGAAGAGUUAUACCUGUCAGGUUCAAUCUGGUAUUUGUAAGACACCUGGGAGAGUUACUCCCAGUUUGUAUAACCAAAUGGCAUCUGCAGUAAACUUGAGCUAUGGGUUGCGUCGUUAUGGCCCUUUCUUGGUUAACUUGCAAGACUGCACUUUCGUUCGACAAACUUUCACUGUCAUCAGCCACUCUUACUGUCCAGAUUUGAGGCAAUAUACGGGAUGGAUCUACAUUGGGCUGGUGAUGGUAUCUGCUGCUGUAAUGCUGUCAUUGAUCUUCUGGGUAAUCUAUGCAAGAGAGCGAAGGCAUCGUGUAUAUACCAAGCAGUCAAUGUCCAGAGACGUGGAAGGACGAGACAAGGCCCCAUAAAGAUGUGCUAAUUAGUUUAUUAGGUUGCUCUAUUCUGUGUAUAUCUUUGGUAGCAUACAUUGCAUUAUUUUUGGACUUUGUCGAUUAUGUGAGUCCUUAGGCUUGGCUAUAACUCAGUACAGCUCUUUUCAUGGGUGUGUGUUCAUAAUGAAAUGUUGCUUCUUACAUCAACUUUAAGCAAUGAUGAUUUAUAGACUUGUAUUAUCAUAUAUCAUCUGUUUGAUGAUUUAUAGUCUUGUAUUAUCAUAUAUCAUCUGUUUGAUGAUUUAUAGU
rnacentral:misc_RNA from 1 species